GUGCCUUUCGGGGAACCAGGAGACAGGUGCUGCAUGGCUGUCGUCAGCUCGUGUCGUGAGAUGUUGGGUUAAGUCCCGCAACGAGCGCAACCCUUAUCUUUAAUUGCCAGCAUUCAGCUGGGCACUUUAAAGAGACUGCCGGUGUUAAACCGGAGGAAGGUGGGGAUGACGUCAAGUCCUCAUGGCCUUUAUGCUUAGGGCUACACACGUGCUACAAUGGGUGGUACAAAGAGAAGCCAACUCGCGAGAGCGCGCCAAUCUCAAAAAGCCAUCCUCAGUUCGGAUUGGAGUCUGCAACUCGACUCCAUGAAGUUGGAAUCGCUAGUAAUCGUGGAUCAGCCAAGCCGCGGUGAAUACGUUCCCGGGCCUU
rnacentral:rRNA from 1 species